UCAGCUGUUUUAAGUUAUAAACAAGGUCUUGGCUUGUUGACUAAUUUCAGUCAAGUAUUUAACAUCUGGAGUGUAUUAUAUUUUGUUUCUUCAACCAUUAUACGUAAAACAUUUUUGUAUUAUAAUAAUAUUUUGAGUUAAUGAGUUUUCUUAAAAAAAUACUGUGGUACCUUACUUCAAGACAAGUGAAAUAUGUAAAUGCUGUCUUGCCCAAUAUCUUGGUAGUUACACGAAGUCAAAGACUAAAAAUAAUUCAAUUUUGAACUAUAAACAUAGGAAUCAAAUAUAUUGUGUUAGUAAUACAUCAUAAUUAAUUUCUCCUUGAAAAUUUGUAGGAUUUAAUAUGUCAGAGACUUAUGAUUAUUUGUUUAAAUUCCUAGUAAUUGGAUCUGCAGGAACAGGAAAGUCAUGCAUUUUGCAUCAGUUCAUUGAAAACAAGUUCAAAAGUGACAGCAGUCAUACGAUUGGGGUGGAGUUUGGAUCCAAGAUCGUAAAUGUGGCCGGUAAGUCGGUGAAGCUGCAGAUUUGGGACACAGCAGGCCAGGAACGCUUCAGGUCUGUGACAAGAAGUUACUACCGAGGAGCUGCAGGAGCACUGCUGGUUUUCGAUAUCACUAACAGAGAAAGUUUCAACAACCUGGCUGAAUGGCUGCAAGAUGCAAGGAUGCUUGCCAGUCCUGACAUCAUCAUCCUGCUGAUCGGUAAUAAGAAAGAUCUGGAAGCAGAACGAGAGGUUACGUUCCUGCAGGCCAGUCAGUUUGCACAAGAGAAUCACUUAAUGUACCUGGAAGCCAGUGCUAAAUCUGGAGAAAAUGUAGAAGAAGCAUUUCUUAAAUGCUGCAAAACUAUUCUAGCUAAAAUACAAACUGGUUUUGGGGAGGUCGUUGUACAAUUUUGGGCCGAAGUACGAGAAGCUCCUCCUACCCAACUCCAGGUUCACUUUUGGAAAGUGUAGCAAGUGCAUGACAUGACGGGUUCUGUAUUUUGAAACCUCCUUCCGGGAUGAGAGCCUCCCGCUUAAGUACUGCGGCUCUCCGUCAGACAGAACCUUGUGAAUUAAAAUACAGGUGAGCUGGACCCUGAUCGCAUAGGUUCUGGAAUCCAGUACGGGGACUCUGCCUCCAGGAGGCUACGACAGGAUAGGUCUCGACGCCACCCAGAAUGUUUCUGCCACAUGUAACAGUUGAGACGUGUCUCAUGUACAUACACUUCAAAUACUGUCAUAUUUUUACAAUAUAUUUCUCCUCUUAUGCACUUUAAAGGCUGAUUUUUGUGGUAUUACCAAUAUUAUUUUGCUGUAUCUUGUUUUCUCUGAAUUUCUUAGUAGUUAGAGAGUUUUACAGAAAUAAGUAUAAUUUUGUAAUAUAGGUAUAUGAAAUAUUAUUUUACAGCAAUAGAAAUAACACUGCUUUAAAUUGUUUUAAUAUUUACCAACGCACAUUCCAGUGUAGUGGCUCUUUGUUUUUAUGUAGUUUUUAGUCAGAUAUAUAAUAUUUUUCUAAUAGUUUACUCUAAAAUUGUUAUUAUUAUGGAGUUAUAGAUUUACCAAUCUGUUUGUUUUGAUAAAUUUACGUUAUGUAAAAAAUUCUGAAUUAUUAUAGGAAAGAGUGAUACAAUUGCAUAUUGUAAUAGUCUAGGCUGUAUUUUUAGGUGUGCUCAGUUCUUGGAAACGGUUUACUCAACAAAAUGAGUGAGUAAUUAAAUAAAUAAAAACAACUCAGAUUAGACUUAGAAUUUAAUAAAUCAUUGAUACAAUACAUACAGUUAAAAUACAUUUACUUAAUAAAACAGUGCAUUAAAUAAAACUAUUAUUAUCUUGAAAAAUUUCUUUUGCCAUACUAAGCACACUUGCCCUUUGCAUGUGUUGAUAAUGUAUACAUUUUCAACUUACAGAGUUGGAAGUCCAAGUUCUGAACUCUAGUGUGUUAGUGUUAGUGUCUAUUGUACUCACACAUGAGAGUCCACCUCGUUCUUGUCGCCAGUAUUGAGUACAUCUGAUACGAUCUCAUCAUCUGUUAUUAUUUUUCUUCUCUGGCUAUCCAGGCAUAUAAUAUGUCAGCUGUUGUCAAGUCACACACGAUGAUCAUAUCCGAGGUGUUCAAUCAUUGCUUCUCUUGAGUCGCUUAACUAUCUUUGUUUUAUGUUGUUCAUUACAUUAAUAUUUAUUUUUUUGAUAAACAUGUAAUAAAGUUAGAGAGAGGCAUAGAUUUAUCCAUAAAAAAACUACAGACUUAAACUUGACAUCUUUGAGUUUAGUGUUCGUCAGUGCUUGACAAGACACUGCACAACAUUCUGAUCUGUUGAUUGAACCAGCAAGGUAAUAUUUGAAGGAAAAAAUUAUAUGCAGAUAUAACCAUCACCAGACCUUAAAUUUAUGUUCAUCAGAUGUUCAGGACAGUUGUCAAGAAUCAGUAGGACUUAUUGGAAUUGUUUUUUUUUUUUAAGAAACAUUCCUACUGAUGAAAUGAAGUGUGUGUGUGUGUGUGAAACCAUUUACUGGCAAGUGUUUUUGUCAUCAACACUUUAGUUUAGUUUGUGUGCAAAACAGAACCAAUAUUAUUGGUUGGGGAAGGGUUGAUUGUCAUUCUUAACCCUUUAAGGAGUGCAUGUAAACUAUACAUAAUGAGUAAGGACGUCAUGUGACGUAUAUUCUUAUAGUGGCCCAAAAGAGUACGGACGUCAUAUGACGAUGUGAUGCUAUUACUGAUUGCCUUUAAGUAGAUUAGUCUGUAAAGUGGUUCCAUCUAUUGGCAACAUACUUAAUUUCCAUUUUUGUGCUCGCAAUCACUUGUAAUCUGAUUUUACCACCUGAUCGCAGUAGCCACCUGGUAGAAGCCACUGACUCAAGGUCGCUUCGCGCGCGCAUCGCUUUAUGCCAGAAUAUGCCACCACAUUAUACUAGCCAUUCCUUGUAUACUGCAUACUGUGGCCAUAUAUUUUAUCUUGUGAGAGUGACAUAUUUGUUGAGCAACCAUCUAGCUUGUUACUGUUGUCCAAAUGGCAGACAAUACUGAUUGAGUCUGCCGUACUUAGGAAAUAAGACAUUUGAUUUUGAAAAAGUAAUAAAAUAUUGAUUUGUAGAACACGUAGUCCUUUUUAAUUAAGCUUUCAAAUAUAAAUAAACAUUUUUAAAAGAUUUUAAAUAUUAUAUUUCUUACUUCUUUUGGUAAUUUUUUGGGUAUCAUCCAUUACUCAUUUUAGCCUAUCAAAAGAAGACAUCAUAUGACGUCCAUACUCCUUAAAGGGUUAAAAGGUCUGGAACUUUAUGAUUUAUCAGUGAAAAGCAUUUGCAACUUGUGAAUGCCACUAACAUUAGAGCAAGGCAUGAAAAUCAUCCGGUCUUUAGCCAAUUUUUGACCAGAAGCACUAACUUAGGCUCCAUGUACAAGUGUCUUUUUGGCUAAAGGUACCAAAACAAGCCGCUUUCGUCAAGAAAUAAAGGCCUCAACAGAUUCUAUAUCAGAUGAGAGUUUUGCACCAGUUACAUUUAACAAUCUGACUCCAAAACAUUUUUUUAGUUUUUAAGUUAACUUGCACUUCUACAGGUUGAAAAUAAUCUUUUUAUAUAAAUUUGUAUGCAAGAAUUUGAUCUUUUCCAUGAAGUAGGUGCAUGCCUGUUUGUUCCUUACACGAACGAAGUAUAAUCGAAUCUUCUACUUGUUUUAAAACCUCAUCUCACCAAUUUUCAAAAUUGUUCUUACACUUACAGAGGACUCACUGCUAUUGAAGAACAACUUAAUUCGAUCCUUCUUCUUUAUUUCCCCCAUGUAUAAAACAUUACCAUGUUUGUUCCACAGAUCACAAAUAUUAGUUAGAUUCAGUGGUGGUGGUAUGUUGCAGAUCAAUCUCAAGAACACGGUCAGUGCUGGAUAAUGUACAAUUUAUUCUGUUGUCAAGGCGAGAUCAUUGAUUUAUUUUAGUGAAUGCUUAACCUUAGGACCUUAAGUUUAUUUUGGAUACCUGAAGAAAACAUUAGCAUUCUUAAGUUUUCAAUCCUCGAGAUGUACUGUGCUUUUUAUAUCUUAUAAUGGUGGCAAAUGUUCAGAAUACUGUAAUUCUUUCAAAUCAUUCAUCAUCAAUAUUAAAAUUAAAAGAAAAAAAAAGUGCAUCUACACUCAUACUACAUAUAAUCUGAUACUAGAAAAGGUAUGGAGUAUGUAAGGUGGUAAGCAUAUUUUCUGUACAUCAUUUUACUUUGUUUAAUUAAUGUCAAAUUCUGUCUAUGAAUUGGUGAACCUCAGGUUGUUAAUCUGUAGAAAGGGAAUUCUUCUCAAUGGAGGCUGAAAAUUUUAUAAAUGUCUAUUUCUUAUAAUAAAGAGUAAUGCAGUUUCUAAAACAAUUAUUUAAACAGAUAAAGAGUUGAGUAUAAAUUUGUAUGAUCAAAAUUAUAACAAAAACAAAGAGGAAAUGAUUACUUUAGCCUUACUGAUAUAUCUAACGGUGUUACAAAUAACAUGUUAUUGUCUCACAAUGUUUCAUGUGGAGUUUUAACAAACUGACUUGAAAGUGUAGCGUUCACUUCAUUCUGCAGUCAAGCUCUCACAUAUAUUGGUGAAUUUAGACUGUUACUGAUCUAAUGGUGUUACAAAUAACAUGUUAUUGUCUCACAAUGUUUCAUGUGGAGUUUUAACAAACUGACUUGAAAGUGUAGAGUUCACUUCAUUCUGCAGUCAAGCUCUCACAUAUAUUGGUGAAUUUAGACUGUUACUGAUCUAAUGGUGUUACAAAUAACAUGUUAUUGUCUCACAAUGUUUCAUGUGAAGUUUUAACAAACUGACUUGAAAGUGUAGAGAAAAGUGCUUCAUUCUGCAACCAAGCUCUCACAUAAAUAUUGGAGAGUGUAAAAAUAAUAUAAACAAAUUAUUUGGAAAUCCAUUAAAUGAGUGUGGCUGACAAUGAUUUUUGUUCUUAGAAAGUUAUACUUUAUAGAUUUGAAGAAGAAAGAAUCAUGUACGUGAUUAUACAGCACUGAUAAUUUUUGGCUCCUAGACUAAGGCUUUUAAAUUUUAUUGGUAAUAUUGUUUAAUUGAAUUUUUUUAAUUUUAUUCAAAUUAUGAACUCAGAUUAUUAUUAAAUAAAAGUUAAAUUGAUGUAUUUAACAAAGGAAUACGUAUUUGGAUUAAAUGUUUUAAUGUGUAUAUGGUACAUUUAUGUUGUACAUAAAAGAUAUCAUAUGCAAGUUUACGCUGAAAUAAUUUGAAUUGUGUUUUAAUACAUUUAAUAAUAUCACACCAAAGAUUGUUAAAAAUGAAUUCAUUAAUAUAACGAGGCCAAAUCCCUUGUGAGAGGAGGUUGUCAUGCCUGUAUCUGCAUAAAUAUAUAAAAUACUAACUGCAAGCAAAAUAUUGUUUACAAAAGUUUGAUAAUUAUUUAAGGUUUUGAAAACACAAAACACGUUUUAGCGUUAUGUAAUUUGUGUACUGCUGAUCAGCUGAUAAUGACUCCAUAGACUCGUUGUAUUCGACAAAUCACUAAUUUAGUGCCUUGCCCAGUAGUUAUAUUGAAAAUACUGAUAAUAUUGUUUAAACUUUUAAUUGUAUUAUUAGUAAAAAAAAAUUUAAUUUAAAAGUGUUGUUUUAUCUUUUUAAAUGAUAGCCUAUCUGAUCUAGCAGCCCCAAAGUAACAAUAACUCAAUCAGUGAAAGGUUUGAUAACCCCCUACUUACUAUUACACUACCCCACUGUGUAUUAGUAAAGUAGUAUGGUACAUGAUAAAUUUUACUUUGUGUAUUGAAGUAAUGACAGAUCUCACCCAAUUGUAUUUUAUAGGAUUCAUUAUUUCUUAAGGAACAUUACGUUUUGUUGUAUUUUAUUAUAUAUUUUGAAAUAUUUGUUUCCAUUUUCAUUUAAUAAAUAAGGUUUCAUUUAGACUAAUGUUUAAAAAUUACAAAUUUUUUAAGAUAGAAAAUAUUUAUUAAAGUUAUUUUGAUGAAACAUUUGUAUCGGAUAUUUUAUGUAGUUUGAAUUAUGAUUAUAUAUCACAACUGUUCUUUAAAUCCGGACGAGUUUUUCCCUUUAUAUUAUAAUUGUUCUUUUUCUUACAAAAUAUUUUUAUAGUUUUUAAAGUAAGGUAAAGAGCUUUUUUCAGCAAAUAAUUUUCUAGACAUAAUUAGAAAAGAACUAUUCAUAGACUAGGUCUAAAAUGUAACAAAUUAAAGAUGUAUUUUACCUAAAGAGUAUAAGUGAAAUGAUUGGUGUUGUUGACAUUUAACACUAUUUAUUAUAACAUAAAAAUCUGAAAGGUUGUAAGUACUUAACCACUACAGUUAUAUUGUAUCCACCUGUUAGUGAGAUCAGUUAGUUUACUGCUUUAGUUGCUUGUACAAUGUAGGCCAGUAAGGUGAUGUAUUACUUUGUUAUCACACAGUGUUUUACUUUUAAUGAAUAAAAAAUAUACAGUAACAUGAA